rnacentral:tRNA from 1 species
AGAUUCUUAGUUUAAUGUUGAAUGUCUCUUUUACAAGGAGAGGGUUAGAGAAUCUU